AACGCACCUUGCACCUUAUGAGCAAUCGUAAGGUAUACCUGUUUGAGAAUCGUAAAAAACCAUCUCUCCCUUUGGGGAGGGGAUUUGCUGGACUUAUCCUCCGGUUAAAAGUAUUAGGUUUGGAUCAGGCUAGUGGCCUGGGACAUUGUGUGCUAGAGACGAGAGUCUUCUCACAGUGCGUCCUGGGUCAUCAAAGCUAGCCUGUGGUAGAGCCUUUAACAGCGCAAAGGGCUUUAAUCUCUUCGGGGGUUGAGGUUCCUUUGGCUACUUUUCUCUUUGAUCUCAAAUCAGGUAAGGCUACCCGCUGAACUUAA
rnacentral:misc_RNA from 1 species